rnacentral:tRNA from 1 species
AUUUAUAUAGUUUAAAGAAAACAUUACAUUUUCAUCGUAAAAUUAGACCCCGUCUUGUAAAUA